CAGUAGCCGCGGGAAAACGUAGGGUGCAAGCGUUAAUCGGAAUUACUGGGCGUAAAGCGUGCGCAGGCGGUGUUGUAAGACUGAUGUGAAAUCCCCGGGCUCAGCCUGGGAACUGCAUUGGUGACUGCAACGCUGGAGUGCGGCAGAGGGGGAUGGAAUUCCGCGUGUAGCAGUGAAAUGCGUAGAUAUGCGGAGGAACACCGAUGGCGAAGGCAAUCCCCUGGGCCUGCACUGACGCUCAUGCACGAAAGCGUGGGGAGCAAACAGGAUUAGAUACCCCCGUAGUCCCUGUCUCUUAUAC
rnacentral:rRNA from 1 species